UUUGUUUUGUUAGCGGUGCAGGAGCGCUCUGCUGCUUUGUAAUCGAUGAAAAAGAGAAGACCUAAGGUGGAACCUUGCGGAACACCACAAGAAAAAAGGCGGCUAACCUCCACUAAACCGCUGCAUGGGACGGGUGACUCAGGCGCCCGCUUUUAAUGUGCUCUCCUCCAGCUCCCACACUCUCUCCUCCCGGCUGCUGCCUUUUAACAGAGCGACAGGUGAUUAGAUAACCAGGCCCUGGUGGGCCAUCUACGCACCUGUCGCUGAUCUCGAAGCCGGUCCUGGCACACCCCGCUUUGCUGCAGGUCCGCAGGCCACGCCCCCCCUCCACAAAGUGUUAUGAUGAAGACAACG